rnacentral:rRNA from 1 species
UACGAGGGGGGCGAGCGUUGUUCGGAAUUAUUGGGCGUAAAGGGUGCGUAGGCGGUUCCGCAAGUCCUGUGUGAAAUCUUCGGGCUCAACUCGAAGUCUGCACGGGAAACUGCGGGGCUUGAGUGUGGGAGAGGUGAGUGGAAUUCCCGGUGUAGCGGUGAAAUGCGUAGAUAUCAGGAGGAACACCGGUGGCGAAGGCGGGUCUCUGGGCCGUUACUGACGCUGAGGAGCGAAAGCGUGGGGAGCGAACAGG